UACAGAGGGGGCAAGCGUUGUUCGGAAUUACUGGGCGUAAAGGGCGCGUAGGCGGCCUGCUAAGUCGAACGUGAAAUCCCUGGGCUCAACCCAGGAACUGCGUCCGAUACUGGUUGGCUUGAAUCCGGGAGAGGGACGUGGAAUUCCAGGUGUAGCGGUGAAAUGCGUAGAUAUCGUAAGGAAGACCAGUGGCGAAGGCGAGGCUCUGGACAGUUACCGACGCUGAGGCACGAAGGCCAGGGGAGCAAACGGG
rnacentral:rRNA from 1 species